CUCUCCCACUAAUCCAACCGACUAUUCAUUAAAGUAAUAAUGAUCAUCCAAGACUAUUUCCUCACGUUUUUAUUAUUAUUAUUAUUAUUAUUAUUGUUAUGUUGCUUUUUUUUUUGUAACACCAUUGUUAUGUUGCUAUUCACGCAUACUUGAAGGUGGAUCAUCAUCCACUCAAAAUAUCAAUUUAUGCAGACCUUGAAUACUUAUAAAAUACCCUUUUUCUAAUCGGUUUUGGUCUUAAAAUCACGUCUUUUUUAGAAAUGUAUUUAAAUGGGAAGACUUUUUCAGGGUUUACGGGAGUAAUCGCGUUAUCUCUGUGUCUUAAGCCUCAAAAGGCCAACUCAAACUUUGUUUUGUGGCGCUCCACUUCCUUACCUUUUCAUUGCACUUCAGAUUUAAUGCAUUAAACAUUACG
rnacentral:lncRNA from 1 species